AGCAGGGUGUGGCUCCUAGCAGGAACUUCUGGAGAGGCAAAGAGGCAGGACAAAGGGGCUUUCUUUAUUUCAGGAACUCCACCCAAGUGGGCUAGCUGCUUUGUGGCAAGGACAAGCUAUUGGACAAGGGAGCUGGUUAAUACCAACAAGAAUGAUCAACUUUCUGGGAUUCAACUCGACAAAGGGCAGACCAAGGAUUUAAAGAAGUUAAUAAACUAUACAGAAUAUAA